UUUUCAUUCUUUGAACUUCAAUAGUCGGGAUCUCAUUCAAAGGCUCUGUCUCUCUGUCUCUCUCUGUCUCUCGAUCGAAUCCCUAAUUUCCUUCUCUAUAGAAUCAGUGGUUUUUUGAUUUUGAUCCCUAAUCUGAUCUCGGAGACUCCAUAUCUACACUUUUAAUCGGUGGUUUGUUGAUUUCGUCCCCGAGGAGUCUCAUAGCGUCUCUCUUGAUAGCGAUUUCAGUAUCCAAGUUUGAUCAAUUAAUCAAUUUCAGUCUCAUUGAUUUGGUUUUCGAUCUAUUGUUCGCAUUUGUUCUUCGAAAAUGCUUAUUUAUCGGUGUAAUGUUUGUGUUGAUUAUGUAGUAUAACGGCCUCUUCAACACUGACUCUUUCUUCGAGGAACAACACCAAUGGCAACAAGAGCAAGAACGCUGUAGCAUCGUCUACAUCUUUUCAUCAGAAAACCCUAAGUCUGUUCUUAAAACUGAAGGAAUUGGCCUCUUCACUCUUGGACUCCGCCAACUGCCAUCUCGAGCGCUUGCAUUAGGAGAUCCUCAAGGACCUCAAAGCCUCUCUCUCUCUCUCUCUCUCCAUAAACGAUUAAAGGUUUAUAUGGCAUCCAUGUUAUCGAAUGAAUACAAGCUACUUGCCUGAUCAGGAAACAAAGUGCAAGAGUUAAAGUGGAUCCAGAAAAGAAUCGAGUUGAUUAGCUAUCCACUACUUCUUGGAUUGUGUAUAUAUCUUCAUCUUCCCAAUUGGCCGAGUUGGAUGGUGAUCUAUGUCACGGUCUUGAGAUGGAGCCUUGAUCUUGACAGACAUCUCAGUGAAGGAACCAAAUAAGGGAAGCAGUUAUUCUUCGCCGAUUUUUUUUUUUCAUUUUUUUGGCUCAAAAACUGUUGGUACCAUAAAUUAUUAUUGUUAUUAUUAUUAUUGUUGUUGUUGUUGUUGUUGUUGUUGUUGUUGUUGUUGUUGUUUUCAGGACACAUGGCAUCCUUUUACUCAUUUGGAAGUUAAAAGAAGUUAUGGAGAUGAUGGAGAACAUGAAGGACAAAGUGGAUGAGUGGAAGGACAAAUGGCAAGGCAAGGAUGAAGAUAGGAGAAAUGGGUAGUUACUAAGCAGUUAUUAUUGUAUAUCAAUGGCUGCAUUAUAAAGGGAUCCAAAACUUAAAUCAAAGACAAUUGAUUUCUAUUUUUCUUAUCUUUAUAUUUCUUACAUUUUAUUUUAUGCACUUUCUUUUCGAAGCAUUUAUUUUCAGCACUUCCUUUUUGAAC